rnacentral:tRNA from 1 species
GGGCUCGUGGCCUAGCACGGAUCAGGGCGCUGGCCUCCGAAGCCGGAAAUCGUGGGUUCGAAUCCCACCGGGCCCG